rnacentral:rRNA from 1 species
UACAGAGGUCUCAAGCGUUGUUCGGAUUCAUUGGGCGUAAAGGGUGCGUAGGCGGCGCCGUAAGUCAGGUGUGAAAUCUCGGGGCUUAACUCCGAAACUGCAUUUGAUACUACGGUGCUUGAGGACUGGAGAGGAGACUGGAAUUUACGGUGUAGCGGUGAAAUGCGUAGAUAUCGUAAGGAAGACCAGUGGCGAAGGCGGGUCUCUGGACAGUUCCUGACGCUGAGGCACGAAGGCCAGGGGAGCAAACGGG